ACACAAUAAUCGAGCUCAUCAUCCCUCUGUGCAUAAUACACUGAAUCACCUUGCUGACCUCUUCAAUAUCUUCCGAAUUUACCGUUUUCUUCAUGUAAUGUGACAUCCGAAUUCUGUUUUCGACAACUUCAGACUAUAAGGGAACCAGAACUGUGUUAUUUUGCCCGUUUUUUAUUGAAUUGUGAACUGGAAAGAUCGAUUUUGUCCACUCGACAGUCUUCGUUGUGUUGCUCUACCGUACUAACUAUUGAAAAACUCCCAAGCUGCACGGUCCCAUUCACUUGCUCCCGAUGCAUGUUGCAGGCUACGCUGUUUGAUCCAGUCAAAAGUCAAGAUCUGCACAAUUGCUAACUCUGGUGACUUCUGGUCUCUGCUUGCUACCUCAAUCUGGGAGAUUCCAUCAUGUCCUUUUACUAUGAUUUGGAUAUAGCCAUUUUUUUCUUCACUCUUUCCAGGACCUACGGUUUGCAAGUUGUGGAAUGAUAAUGAUACAAAAGAAAAAAUUUCUUUAUCAAUCUUGGAAACAAUUUUGAGCACAGUUUUGGAGAGAACUAAGAAAUUUUACUCGGACAGGAAUACAGCUUGUCAAAAAUAAUAACACACAAUUUAAAACGAAAGAACAAUUUUAAUGUUACUAGGGCAUUUUGCGAGAAAUGUUAUACUCAAUCACACGUCCCAAAUCAAGGGAAAGUCCUUUGAUUAAACAUGUAGUUGAAUUGCGAUUGCAACUCGACCUUAUUACGCUUGAAUUUGAAUUUAAGACUUACGCUUGAUUUGCAAUUGAACAUAAGUUUCUUGCAGUGCCCCAUAAUUAUGUUUUGUUAUCAGAUAUUUAACGUGCUGAUUUUUCUCGAAAGGUAUAAUAUAUUUGUCCUUUUAAACGGUA